rnacentral:rRNA from 1 species
AUUGAACGCUGGCGGCGUGCUUAACACAUGCAAGUCGAUCGGUAACAGGUGUAGCAAUACAUGCUGACGAGAGGCGGACGGGUGAGUAAUGCUUGGGAAUCUGCCUAUUAGUGGGGGACGAACCCGGGAAACGUCGGCGUAAUACCGCAUACGCUCUACGGAGGAAAGCCGGGGACCGCAAGGCCUGGCGCUAAUAGAUGAGCCCAAGUCGGAUUAGCUAGUUGGUAGGGUAACGGCCUACCAAGGCGACAAUCCGUAGCUGGUCUGAGAGGACGACCAGCCA